CCUCUAGGCCGCCAAGCGGGGUCGUUGAACGACCCCAGCCCUAUAUUUCGUGCUAUAACUUAAUAAAUAUAAAAGAUACCAUUCCCAUCUUUUGGAAAUAAGUUCUUUGGUUAUCUGAGGAGGUUGUGUAAAAAUUUCAGCUCAAUCCGUCCACCACAAGAAAAGUUAUUAAGGAAAAUGUAGAAGAAGGGAAUUCAAAAAUUGGUGUAACGGCCAUGCUGCGGAAAAUUUUUUAGAAUGAAGUUAGUCACAUCAUGAAUCAUAUGGUUGAAGGGUUGUGUUUACUUUUUCACUUUACCUUCUUAGUGUCAGAAUUAUCGCGAAUAAGUAACAUAAACAACAUAAAACAUAAUUAGAAGCAUAUAAAUGUGCAAAACAAUAAAGAAUAUUCGAGAAAUAUUGCCAUUUAUCACGGUGCGGGAAGUGAGGGGAAUGUGGGGAAGUAGUGAAAAAAAAUAGCAGUUGCGGUCAACUUCGUGGCAAAUUUCUCACGAAGAAAGUGUGAAAAAUGAGUGAAAAAUGUUUUUCCCUAAUAUCUUUUUCUGCGUGUUUCCGGGUGGCGAAUUUGUGAUGCAAGGGGCAAGAGGACUAUAUAAGGAGUCUAAAGGUAGUGACCCGACAGUUCCCGGUUUUAUAGUUUAUGAGAAAAUCGACUUCCUUCUUGGGGUCGUUCAACGACCCCACCUUGGCGCUCUAAGGAAGCUCCAAGGUCUUGGCGGCCAGCAGGUUAAAUUCCAGUCAAAGUAGAAGUUAUAGCAUUAUAAUUUUUUAUAAUAUAUUUAGGCAUCGUUAAAUAUAUAAAAAAAAUCUAAUACCUUGAAUAUUUUAAAUAAGAAAAUGAAUUAUAAAAGUAAAGUGCAGAAAGUGCAUGACUCUUACGUACACUUUUAAAAUUUUUAAAUAUAUUUUUUAAUUUUUUUGCAUACUGGAGCUUAGGGUAAUCCUUUUAGAAAAUGAUUUCGUGUCUAGGAUUCAUCAUGAGUUUUGACAGAGAUAUUUAAAAAAAAACCUGAAAUUAAUCAACAAGAAAAUGCAAAAUUAGUUUAAUUUUCAUUAACUGUAUGAUCUUGUGUACACUCAUUUUUCUCUAUUGAAUGGGAUUUUUAAUGUUUUAGACAAUAAAAUAUUAUUAUAGGAGUUUUGGGAUAAUUUUUGCCAUUUUUGUAAAGUUGAUUACUAAUUUGAGAUUCCCACAGUUGAAUCAGUUUUUAUUAUUAGAUUAAAAUUAAUUUAUACGUUUGCAAGGAUUAUUGCAAAAGAUUUUUCUUUGUUUAAGUAAAAAAAACAUACUUCGUUGCACAGGAAGUGAGUAUCAACUACCAGCUUCCUAUUACUGCUUGUGCUAAUUAAUACCAUGCGCCCCAUGCGCGUAUAAUAUUCAUCUAACAUAAGGCUUUACAAGAGAAACUAAAGUUUGGAAAUGUUGGGAAUCUGUAUGUACCUAUUUCAAACAAUGAAUUGGAAAACUUAUAAAGCUCAAUUAACCCUUCUCUCCCAUCGACGAAUCUCUAAUUAGUAUUACGAUAAUUUUAACUCAGGAAAUGCAGUAUAAGGGAUGCCAAUCGCUGAAUUACAUUUUGAUAGACAUUAUUCUGUACACCUUUCUAAUAUUGUCGCUCCUCUUUCAUGAAUAGCAACAUGACGCAGUACAAGAUAAUUGAGAAGCAAUACAAGUCAGCAUUUUAGCAAUAACAAUAACUGUCGGACGUUACUCACUGAGAAAAUCAUGAUUGAUAAGAAAUUGUGAGAUAUUCUGUCGCAGAAGGUGAAGGAAUUAAUUGUGUGAUUGAUGAGAUGUAAGGUGUCCAUAGUUCAUUUUAGUUAAAACAAAGGGAUUAAGCCACCUCACGUGGUUGAACUGGAGCCACCUUAAUGGAGUAUGGCUUUCCAAAAACUGUUGGAGGCCCCUCUCGAACGUGAAGUGCUGGCUCCUCGGGAGUUGAUGUGCAUUCCACAUAGUCUGGGUAUGUGCACACUUGGUUUACGGGAUCGAAGUACAAAUCAUUAGCGCAUACGCCAGGGUAGGCUUCACCACCACUGCAGUAAUACCAAGCCCCACAAGAAGACGGAUUAUCCACAAAACUACCAUCGGUGGCUCCAGUACAAGGGUUCGCAGCAGCACCACAGAAAUCACCUGGGUACGUGCACCUGAAAAAGAAAGUAGAAAAUAAUUGGAUGUUAUAAAAUAAAUGUAAAAAGCUGGCAAAAAAAGAAAUAUUUAAUCUUUAAUAUAAAGAUUUAUUUUUUAAUUCACAUUUUUUUCGUUCUUGUUAGUAGUUUAAAAGAAAUCAUACACAAUAAAGUUCUUUGACUCUUUUAUAUAAUAAAACACUUAAGUACAUUUAUAUACUUUAUAAA